rnacentral:rRNA from 1 species
UUUACGGAGAGUUUGAUCCUGGCUCAGGACGAACGCUGGCGGCGUGCUUAACACAUGCAAGUCGAACGAUGAUGCCCAGCUUGCUGGGUGGAUUAGUGGCGAACGGGUGAGUAACACGUGAGUAACCUGCCCCUGACUCUGGGAUAAGCGUUGGAAACGACGUCUAAUACUGGAUAUGAUCACUGGCCGCAUGGUCUGGUGGUGGAAAGAUUUUUUGGUUGGGGAUGGACUCGCGGCCUAUCAGCUUGUUGGUGAGGUAAUGGCUCACCAAGGCGACGACGGGUAGCCGGCCUGAGAGGGUGACCGGCCACACUGGGACUGAGACACGGCCCAGACUCCUACGGGAGGCAGCAGUGGGGAAUAUUGCACAAUGGGCGAAAGCCUGAUGCAGCAACGCCGCGUGAGGGAUGACGGCCUUCGGGUUGUAAACCUCUUUUAGUAGGGAAGAAGCGAAAGUGACGGUACCUGCAGAAAAAGCACCGGCUAACUACGUGCCAGCAGCCGCGGUAAUACGUAGGGUGCAAGCGUUGUCCGGAAUUAUUGGGCGUAAAGAGCUCGUAGGCGGUUUGUCGCGUCUGCUGUGAAAUCCCGAGGCUCAACCUCGGGCUUGCAGUGGGUACGGGCAGACUAGAGUGCGGUAGGGGAGAUUGGAAUUCCUGGUGUAGCGGUGGAAUGCGCAGAUAUCAGGAGGAACACCGAUGGCGAAGGCAGAUCUCUGGGCCGUAACUGACGCUGAGGAGCGAAAGCAUGGGGAGCGAACAGGAUUAGAUACCCUGGUAGUCCAUGCCGUAAACGUUGGGCGCUAGAUGUAGGGACCUUUCCACGGUUUCUGUGUCGUAGCUAACGCAUUAAGCGCCCCGCCUGGGGAGUACGGCCGCAAGGCUAAAACUCAAAGGAAUUGACGGGGGCCCGCACAAGCGGCGGAGCAUGCGGAUUAAUUCGAUGCAACGCGAAGAACCUUACCAAGGCUUGACAUACACCGGAAACGGCCAGAGAUGGUCGCCCCCUUGUGGUCGGUGUACAGGUGGUGCAUGGUUGUCGUCAGCUCGUGUCGUGAGAUGUUGGGUUAAGUCCCGCAACGAGCGCAACCCUCGUUCUAUGUUGCCAGCGGGUUAUGCCGGGGACUCAUAGGAGACUGCCGGGGUCAACUCGGAGGAAGGUGGGGAUGACGUCAAAUCAUCAUGCCCCUUAUGUCUUGGGCUUCACGCAUGCUACAAUGGCCGGUACAAAGGGCUGCGAUACCGUAAGGUGGAGCGAAUCCCAAAAAGCCGGUCUCAGUUCGGAUUGAGGUCUGCAACUCGACCUCAUGAAGUCGGAGUCGCUAGUAAUCGCAGAUCAGCAACGCUGCGGUGAAUACGUUCCCGGGCCUUGUACACACCGCCCGUCAAGUCAUGAAAGUCGGUAACACCCGAAGCCGGUGGCCUAACCCUUGUGGAAGGAGCCGUCGAAGGUGGGAUCGGUGAUUAGGACUAAGUCGUAACAAGGUAGCCGUACCGGAAGGUGCGGCUGGAUCACCUCCUUUCUAAGGAGCAUCUGG